AAAAGAAACUAACAAGGAUUCCCCUAGUAACGGCGAGUGAAGCGGGAAGAGCUCAAAUUUGAAAUCUAGUAGCCUUCGGCUGCUCGAGUUGUAAUCUAGAGAAGUGUUUUCCGUGCCGGCCCAUGUACAAGUCCCUUGGAACAGGGCGUCAUAGAGGGUGAGAAUCCCGUCCUUGACAUGGACCCCCGGUGCUCUGUGAUACACUUUCAACGAGUCGAGUUGUUUGGGAAUGCAGCUCAAAAUGGGUGGUGAAUUCCAUCUAAAGCUAAAUAUUGGCGAGAGACCGAUAGCGAACAAGUACCGUGAGGGAAAGAUGAAAAGCACUUUGGAAAGAGAGUUAAACAGUACGUGAAAUUGUUGAAAGGGAAACGAUUGAAGUCAGUCAUGCUCUUUGGUAUUUAUAUCAUUGAGUGGGGUCAACAUCAGUUUUGAGCGAUGGAUAAAGGCACUAGGAAGGUAGCACUCUCGGGUGAACUUAUAGCCUAGCGUCAUAUACAUUGUUUGGGACUGAGGAACGCAGCAUGCCUUUAUGGCCGGGAUUCGUCCA
rnacentral:rRNA from 1 species